AAAUUGAAGAGUUUGAUCAUGGCUCAGAUUGAACGCUGGCGGCAGGCCUAACACAUGCAAGUCGAACGGUAACAGGAAGAAGCUUGCUUCUUUGCUGACGAGUGGCGGACGGGUGAGUAAUGUCUGGGAAACUGCCUGAUGGAGGGGGAUAACUACUGGAAACGGUAGCUAAUACCGCAUAAUGUCGCAAGACCAAAGAGGGGGACCUUCGGGCCUCUUGCCAUCGGAUGUGCCCAGAUGGGAUUAGCUAGUAGGUGGGGUAACGGCUCACCUAGGCGACGAUCCCUAGCUGGUCUGAGAGGAUGACCAGCCACACUGGAACUGAGACACGGUCCAGACUCCUACGGGAGGCAGCAGUGGGGAAUAUUGCACAAUGGGCGCAAGCCUGAUGCAGCCAUGCCGCGUGUAUGAAGAAGGCCUUCGGGUUGUAAAGUACUUUCAGCGGGGAGGAAGGGAGUAAAGUUAAUACCUUUGCUCAUUGACGUUACCCGCAGAAGAAGCACCGGCUAACUCCGUGCCAGCAGCCGCGGUAAUACGGAGGGUGCAAGCGUUAAUCGGAAUUACUGGGCGUAAAGCGCACGCAGGCGGUUUGUUAAGUCAGAUGUGAAAUCCCCGGAACCAACCUGGGAACUGCAUCUGAUACUGGCAAGCUUGAGUCUCGUAGAGGGGGGUAGAAUUCCAGGUGUAGCGGUGAAAUGCGUAGAGAUCUGGAGGAAUACCGGUGGCGAAGGCGGCCCCCUGGACGAAGACUGACGCUCAGGUGCGAAAGCGUGGGGAGCAAACAGGAUUAGAUACCCUGGUAGUCCACGCCGUAAACGAUGUCGACUUGGAGGUUGUGCCCUUGAGGCGUGGCUUCCGGAGCUAACGCGUUAAGUCGACCGCCUGGGGAGUACGGCCGCAAGGUUAAAACUCAAAUGAAUUGACGGGGAACUCGCACAAGCGGUGGAGCAUGUGGUUUAAUUCGAUGCAACGCGAAGAACCUUACCUGGUCUUGACAUCCACGGAAGUUUUCAGAGAUGAGAAUGUGCCUUCGGGAACCGUGAGACAGGUGCUGCAUGGCUGUCGUCAGCUCGUGUUGUGAAAUGUUGGGUUAAGUCCCGCAACGAGCGCAACCCUUAUCCUUUGUUGCCAGCGGUCCGGCCGGGAACUCAAAGGAGACUGCCAGUGAUAAACUGGAGGAAGGUGGGGAUGACGUCAAGUCAUCAUGGCCCUUACGACCAGGGCUACACACGUGCUACAAUGGCGCAUACAAAGAGAAGCGACCUCGCGAGAGCAAGCGGACCUCAUAAAGUGCGUCGUAGUCCGGAUUGGAGUCUGCAACUCGACUCCAUGAAGUCGGAAUCGCUAGUAAUCGUGGAUCAGAAUGCCACGGUGAAUACGUUCCCGGGCCUUGUACACACCGCCCGUCACACCAUGGGAGUGGGUUGCAAAAGAAGUAGGUAGCUUAACCUUCGGGAGGGCGCUUACCACUUUGUGAUUCAUGACUGGGGUGAAGUCGUAACAAGGUAACCGUAGGGGAACCUGCGGUUGGAUCACCUCCUUA
rnacentral:rRNA from 1 species